AACGCGAAGAACCUUACCUGGGCUUGACAUAUAGAGGAUCGCUACAGAGAUGUGGUUUCCCUCGUGGCUUCUAUACAGGUGGUGCAUGGUUGCCGUCAGCUCGUGUCGUGAGAUGUUGGGUUAAGUCCCGCAACGAGCGCAACCCUUGUCUUAUGUUGCCAGCACGUUAUGGUGGGGACUCGUGAGAGACUGCCGGGGUCAACUCGGAGGAAGGUGGGGAUGACGUCAAAUCAUCAUGCCCCUUAUGUCCAGGGCUUCACACAUGCUACAAUGGCCGGUACAGAGGGCUGCGAUGCCGUGAGGCGGAGCGAAUCUCUUAAAGCCGGUCUCAGUUCGGAUUGGGGUCUGCAACUCGACCCCAUGAAGUCGGAGUCGCUAGUAAUCGCAGAUCAGCGCG
rnacentral:rRNA from 1 species